UACGUAGGGGGCAAGCGUUAUCCGGAUUUACUGGGUGUAAAGGGAGCGUAGACGGCAAGGCAAGUCUGAUGUGAAAACCCAGGGCUUAACCCUGGGAGUGCAUUGGAAACUGUCUGGCUCGAGUGCCGGAGAGGUAAGCGGAAUUCCUAGUGUAGCGGUGAAAUGCGUAGAUAUUAGGAAGAACACCAGUGGCGAAGGCGGCUUACUGGACGGUAACUGACGUUGAGGCUCGAAAGCGUGGGGAGCAAACAGG
rnacentral:rRNA from 1 species